rnacentral:ncRNA from 2 species
CAAUAGAGGCGCGGUCCUCAUCAGUAAGCGGAGUCACGUUUCAAAGAACGCCGCCCAAAGGGAGUACCGCCGAAGUCGCGCUCGUCGCUUUGAAGACGCCGCGGCUGGGCACGGGAUCAACAAUCCCGCGACUGUCAUCGAUCGCGAUGGAGGGCUAUUUG